GCCGGGGUAGCGGAGCCAGGCUAACGCGCCAGACUCGAGAUCUGGUGGUGCUUGCACCACAAGGGUUCAAAUCCCUUCCCCGGCG
rnacentral:tRNA from 1 species